rnacentral:misc_RNA from 1 species
GAUGAAGAACGUAGCGAAAUGCGAUAAGUAGUGUGAAUUGCAGAAUUCAGUGAAUCAUCGAAUCUUUGAACGCACAUUGCGCCCCUCGGUAUUCCAUGGGGCAUGCCUGUUCGAGCGUCAUUUGUACCUUCAAGCUUUGCUUGGUGUUGGGUGUUUGUCUCGCCUUUGCGUGUAGACUCGCCUUAAAAUAAUUGGCAGCCGGCGUAUUGAUUUCGGAGCGCAGUACAUCUCGCGCUUUGCACUCAUAACGACAGCGUCCAAAAGUACAUUUUACACUCUUGACCUCGGAUCAGGUAGGGAUACCCGCUGAACUUAAGCAUAUCAAUAAGCGGAGGA